rnacentral:rRNA from 2 species
AUGCAAGUCGAGCGAACAGAUAAGGAGCUUGCUCCUUUGACGUUAGCGGCGGACGGGUGAGUAACACGUGGGUAACCUACCUAUAAGACUGGGAUAACUUCGGGAAACCGGAGCUAAUACCGGAUAACAUUUGGAACCGCAUGGUUCUAAAGUGAAAGAUGGUUUUGCUAUCACUUAUAGAUGGACCCGCGCCGUAUUAGCUAGUUGGUAAGGUAACGGCUUACCAAGGCGACGAUACGUAGCCGACCUGAGAGGGUGAUCGGCCACACUGGAACUGAGACACGGUCCAGACUCCUACGGGAGGCAGCAGUAGGGAAUCUUCCGCAAUGGGCGAAAGCCUGACGGAGCAACGCCGCGUGAGUGAUGAAGGGUUUCGGCUCGUAAAACUCUGUUAUUAGGGAAGAACAAAUGUGUAAGUAACUGUGCACGUCUUGACGGUACCUAAUCAGAAAGCCACGGCUAACUACGUGCCAGCAGCCGCGGUAAUACGUAGGUGGCAAGCGUUAUCCGGAAUUAUUGGGCGUAAAGCGCGCGUAGGCGGUUUCUUAAGUCUGAUGUGAAAGCCCACGGCUCAACCGUGGAGGGUCAUUGGAAACUGGGAAACUUGAGUGCAGAAGAGGAAAGUGGAAUUCCAUGUGUAGCGGUGAAAUGCGCAGAGAUAUGGAGGAACACCAGUGGCGAAGGCGACUUUCUGGUCUGUAACUGACGCUGAUGUGCGAAAGCGUGGGGAUCAAACAGGAUUAGAUACCCUGGUAGUCCACGCCGUAAACGAUGAGUGCUAAGUGUUAGGGGGUUUCCGCCCCUUAGUGCUGCAGCUAACGCAUUAAGCACUCCGCCUGGGGAGUACGACCGCAAGGUUGAAACUCAAAGGAAUUGACGGGGACCCGCACAAGCGGUGGAGCAUGUGGUUUAAUUCGAAGCAACGCGAAGAACCUUACCAAAUCUUGACAUCCUUUGAAAACUCUAGAGAUAGAGCCUUCCCCUUCGGGGGACAAAGUGACAGGUGGUGCAUGGUUGUCGUCAGCUCGUGUCGUGAGAUGUUGGGUUAAGUCCCGCAACGAGCGCAACCCUUAAGCUUAGUUGCCAUCAUUAAGUUGGGCACUCUAGGUUGACUGCCGGUGACAAACCGGAGGAAGGUGGGGAUGACGUCAAAUCAUCAUGCCCCUUAUGAUUUGGGCUACACACGUGCUACAAUGGACAAUACAAAGGGCAGCUAAACCGCGAGGUCAUGCAAAUCCCAUAAAGUUGUUCUCAGUUCGGAUUGUAGUCUGCAACUCGACUACAUGAAGCUGGAAUCGCUAGUAAUCGUAGAUCAGCAUGCUACGGUGAAUACGUUCCCGGGUCUUGUACACACCGCCCGUCACACCACGAGAGUUUGUAACACCCGAAGCCGGUGGAGUAACCAUUUAUGGAGCUAGCCGUCGAAGGUGG